GAUGAACGCUGGCGGCGUGCCUAAUACAUGCAAGUCGAGCGAACAGACGAGGAGCUUGCUCCUCUGACGUUAGCGGCGGACGGGUGAGUAACACGUGGAUAACCUACCUAUAAGACUGGGAUAACUUCGGGAAACCGGAGCUAAUACCGGAUAAUAUAUUGAACCGCAUGGUUCAAUAGUGAAGUACGGUGUUGCUGUCACUUAUAGAUGGAUCCGCGCCGCAUUAGCUAGUUGGUAAGGUAACGGCUUACCAAGGCAACGAUGCGUAGCCGACCUGAGAGGGUGAUCGGCCACACUGGAACUGAGACACGGUCCAGACUCCUACGGGAGGCAGCAGUAGGGAAUCUUCCGCAAUGGGCGAAAGCCUGACGGAGCAACGCCGCGUGAGUGAUGAAGGUCUUCGGAUCGUAAAACUCUGUUAUUAGGGAAGAACAAAUGUGUAAGUAACUAUGCACGUCUUGACGGUACCUAAUCAGAAAGCCACGGCUAACUACGUG
rnacentral:rRNA from 1 species